GGCCGGGUGCUCCGACACUCCGCACAAGCGCCUCCCCCCGUCCCCCGCGCGCGCGACGGCGGGCGACCAACGAACCCCAGAGCGGAAAGCGCCAAUGAAUACUUGAAUCGAUAGCCUGCCCCUCGCGCCCUUCGCAAGCCUACGCUCUGUAUACAUUAGCAUGGGAUAACAUUAUAGGAUUUCAGUCCUAUUACGUUGGCCUUAAGGAUCGGAGUAAUGAUUAACAGGGACAGUCGGGGGCAUUCGUAUCUCAUAGUCAGAGGUGAAAUUCUUGGAUUUAUGAAAGACGAACAACUGCGAAAGCAUUUGCCAAGGAUUUUUUCAUUAAUCAAGAACGAAAGUUGGGGGCUCGAAGACGAUCAGAUACCGUCCUAGUCUCAACCAUAAACGAUGCCGACCAGGGAUUAGCGAAUGUUGCUUUUAGGACUCCACCGGCCCCUUAUGAGAAAUCAAAGUUUUUGGGUUCCGGGGGGAGUAUGGUCUCAAGGCUGAAACUUAAAGGAAUUGACGGCAGGGCACCACCAGGAGUGGAGCCUGCGGCUUAAUUUGACUCAACACGGGGAUACUUACCAGGUGAAGACAUAGUAAAGAUUGACAGACUGAGAGCUCUUUCUUGAUUCUAUUGGUGGUGGUGCAUGGCCGUUCUUAGUUGGUGGAGCAAUUUUUAUUGUUAAUUCCGUUAACGAACGAGAACUUAGCCUGCUAACUAACUAUGCGGAGGUAUCCCUUCGCGGCUAGCUUCUUAGAGGGACUACGGCCUUUUAGUCCGCGGAAGGUUGAGGCAAUAACAGGUUUGUGCUGCCCUUAGAUGUUCGGGGCCACACGCGCACUACACUGAUGUAUUCAACGAGUUUAAAGCCUUGGCCGACAGGCUCGGGUAAUCUUUGAAAUUUUAUCGUGAUGGGGAUAGAUCAUUGAAAUUGUUGGUCUUCAACGAGGAAUUCCUAGUAAGCGCGAGUCAUCAGCUCGUGUUGACUACGUCCCUACCCUUUGUACACACCGCCCGUCGCUCCUACCGAUUGAAUGAUCCGGUGAAAUGUUCGGAUCGCGUCGACGUGGGCGGUUCGCUGCUCGCAACGUCGCAAGAAGUCCAUUGAACCUUAUCAUUUAGAGGACAGAGAAGUCGUAACAAGGUUUCCGUAGGUGAACCUGCAGAAG
rnacentral:rRNA from 1 species